rnacentral:rRNA from 1 species
GACGAACGCUGGCGGCGUGCUUAACACAUGCAAGUCGAACGGAAAGGCCCUGCUUUUGUGGGGUGCUCGAGUGGCGAACGGGUGAGUAACACGUGAGUAACCUGCCCUUGACUUUGGGAUAACUUCAGGAAACUGGGGCUAAUACCGGAUAGGAGCUCCUGCUGCAUGGGGGGGGUUGGAAAGUUUUGGCGGUUGGGGAUGGACUCGCGGCUUAUCAGCUUGUGGGUGGGGUAGUGGCUUACCAAGGCUUUGACGGGUAGCCGGCCUGGGAGGGUGACCGGCCACAUUGGGACUGAGAUGCGGCGCAGACUCCUACGGGAGGAAGCAGUGGGGAAUAUUGCACAAUGGGCGGAAGCCUGAUGCAGCAACGCCGCGUGCGGGAUGACGGCCUUCGGGUUGUAAACCGCUUUCGCCUGUGACGAAGCGUGAGUGACGGUAAUGGGUAAAGAAGCACCGGCUAACUACGUG